UCAGAGGAGAACCACAGCAUCACUCUGGAGUGGACCUUCACCAAGACUCACACAUCGACCGACUCCUUCAUAAACUGUGAUCUGAUCAUGAAGUCCUUGUCCUCUAUCAUGUAUAUAAAGGUGUUGAGCUUCCAGAAUCUCAGGAUGAACAGUUUUCAGGACGAGUCCAGAGUGACAAAGACGUCCUCAGAGAAGGACGAAUCAGACUCCAUGUGUCCAGACUGAGGACCGAAGACUCUGGUCUGUAUCUGUGUGACGUGAAAACUGAAGAUGGAUUCAACUCUGGAAGAUGUCAAGUCAACAUUUCUAAAAUCUUCUCA